UACGGGGGGGGCAAGCGUUGUUCGGAAUUACUGGGCGUAAAGGGCGCGUAGGCGGCUCGCUAAGUUGGAUGUGAAAACUCUGGGCUUAACCCAGAGCCUGCAUUCAAAACUGACGGGCUAGAGUUCUGGAGGGGAUAGCGGAAUUCCUGGUGUAGCGGUGAAAUGCGUAGAUAUCAGGAGGAACACCGGUGGCGAAGGCGGCUAUCUGGACAGAAACUGACGCUGAGGCGCGAAAGCUAGGGGAGCAAACGGG
rnacentral:rRNA from 1 species